rnacentral:rRNA from 1 species
UACGUAGGGGGCAAGCGUUGUCCGGAAUCAUUGGGCGUAAAGAGCGUGUAGGCGGCCAGAUAAGUCCGCUGUGAAAUCUCGAGGCUCAACUUCGAGCUGUCGGUGGAAACUGUCUGGCUAGAGUCCGGAAGAGGAGAAUGGAAUUCCUGGUGUAGCGGUGAAAUGCGUAGAGAUCAUGAGGAAGACCAGUGGCGAAGGCGGGUCUCUGGACAGUUCCUGACACUGAGGCACGAAGGCCAGGGGAGCAAACGGG